CCACCUUCUUCAAUGCCAUUAAUUGCAACUUUUCGUAGCUCCGAUGCACGAAGUCUUCGCUCUUCUACCUUGUUUCCUUGCACAGCUUCCGCCAGUAACUUAGCCAAUUCGUCCGAAUUUGGUACCGUUUGCGCACCUUCACAAGCUCUAAUAGCUACCUCAUGCUCGUCAACUAAAAGGUUCGCAUUGGCAAAUUGGUCAGCACCCAUCGGCCAUGUUAACAUUGGUACACCGGCUAUUAAACUUUCGAGAGUCGAAUUCCAACCACAGUGAGUUAAGAAUGCGCCUAUAGCUUGGUGUUUUAAAAUCAACACUUGCGGGGACCAGUCUCUAACAACCAGGCCCCGUCCAGCCACUUUUUCCUCAAACCAAGACGGAAUCACGCCGUAAUCAUUUGAAGCGUGUCCUUUGGUGGCUCUUUUUGCUGACAAAAUGAACUUGACACCACUUUUGUCCAAAGCUAUGGCUAAUUCCUCCAUUUGUUUGUUUGUUAGCACAGCUUGACUGCCGAAACAGAUGUAUACAACCGAGUGAUCUUCACAUUUGUCGAGCCAUGCUAGUAUUUCACUAGCUAAAACAGAGCUCGAACCGCCUCUGUUUGAUUGGCCGGAGACAUCAUCUUCUCCCGGAGGAAGUACUGGUCCAACAGACCAAACCCUGUUGUGACCCAAAUCUUUCAUCAGAUGAUCCAAAUACACAUUUUCCAAUUCCAUAAACGUAUUGAAAACGAUUCCGUCACUUGCUAUAUCAGCGAGAUAGCAUUCUCUGAUGAAUUCCGAACUUGGGUCUCCUUCAACAUAACUCCGGUAAAUAGGAGAGAGCUGCCAAAAAGGGAAUUUCGGGGAAUUGGGGAUAUUGGGGAAGUGAAAAUAUUCGUUUUCAUCGUUGGGGUUUUUCCUUUUGGGCAUUUCACGCCAAAGUGAAUAAACAACAGAUAGGACCAACGCGCUCGAGGGGGAGAAUACGUACCGGCGAAUACCGAGCUGGGUGGCGAUUUCGUGAGUAAACCCCAAAAACAUAUCGGAAAUUAUGGCUGACGGCGGCGAAGGGUGGUUGCGGAACCAUUCCAAUAUGGGAUCUCGAAGUUUUCCGAGAUUGUACAUCAUGGAACGGAACCCAUUAGCAGGAAGGUCCUUGACGUUCUCUACGCCGGCGGGAAUUGAAGGGUGAGAUGGAAAAGGCAAAACGAGAGUUUUUAUUGAUGGAUUCCUGGAGAGAAGAGGGUCUAAGAUUGGGAGAUUCUUGGGGGUGACUAAAAUAGUGAUGGCUACUCCAUUGUUGACUAGCUGAUGAGUGAAAUCCAGAAGGGGAAGCAUAUGGCCUUGUGCUGGAUAAGGAAAGAUGAGAACAUGAGGGUGAUUUUCAGACAUUUUUCUCAAUUGCCGAUGAGUGGAGCCGCCGGACCGGCGUUCAGGCGCUGAAUAUUGGGAGAAGAAGAAAAGGAAAAUGGGAAAGUGAUUAAACUUUCAAGGCCAAAGAAACAAAUGUGUGAUUUGGUGGUUUCCUUUUUUUCUACUUAAUUAAGAGAGCAAAUGGAAAUAAUUUUCUACCACAUUUUAUUUGAGUCAAUAACUCAUUAGUAGACCAACAACAUUUAACUAAUUAUUAUCUUGACCGUUGACUACUAUAUUUUUGAAUAUUUUUCUCUAAAAUGGAAAAAGUAAUUAAUACUCCAUGAUACUCUUUUAUUUCAAGCUAUAAAUAAUAUAGUCCACUUUUGAAUUUAACUAAUUUUUAAAGUUAAUUUAGAUCAUAUUAAUUUGAUAUUUUGAAUAAAAAUUUUAAAUGUUUAAAUUUUUCUGCAUAUCAAUGUGAUAGUAAAUUAUCACAAAAUGUUAGUCAAAGUUCUUGUAGUUUGACUCUAACAAAGAAAAUCAUGAUAAUUAAAAAUGAACGGAUGAAGUAAUCUUUAAACAAUAUUUCUUAUGUUCUUAUUUAAUUAUCGUCUUUAAUAUUUGUCAUUUCAUAAAAUCAAUGCAUAAAUGAUAUUAUUUUUUCUAAUUUACCGUUGAAAGUUAUUAGAACUGAAAAUAUAUAUUUGAUCAACAUAGAAAAAAAUAAGUAAACAAAUUUCCAUUCAUUGGUCAAAUUAACUAAUUAAAACAAAUCAACUCAUGUUCAUUGAUUGAAAACUUACCUAAUUUCUUAAAUGACGUGAAAUCUAAAAUGGUGACAACUAAGGCCUAAUUUGUUUCAAUUAAAAUUAAGACGUCUGAUUUUGAAUACGCAUGUGCAUUAAGAUUAUAGAUGUCUAGAUCGGAAUACACAUAUAAAUAUUAAGAUGUGGUCUCCAAAUUUUAAGACUAAAUGAUUAACUGAUUGUUUUCAAUAUCUGAAUAUGCAUAUGAAAUUAUAUAAAUUUGAUUGAUAUUAAAACUCUCUUAAAGAUUUAAUUCGUUCAGAUAUUUUCAGAUCCAUGAAGAGGUUUGUUUUUUUUUUUUACUAUGGACUUAAUUGAGUGAAUUUAAAUGAUUAAGCUUCAACCUUAAAAUCAAGCACAUUUAAUAGGAUAAAUAUAAAUGAUGCAUUAAGCGUAACAAACGAAGCCUAAAUUGGAACAACGAAAGUGAUAUAUUUCAUUCCCGUAUGGUCCCAUACUCCCAUUUGUUUGGUAUAAAGUCCACAAACAUAUAUUUUGUUAAGGAUAAUUUUAAAAUUUUCCUAAAUCUUUUCACAUUUCUUAAACUUUAUUUAGUCAAAUUGUGUUAUAUAAAUUUACACGGGAAAGUAUUCGAUUGAAAAUAGAAAAAAUAUUAAUUGCAAUCAAUAAAAGAUUCUUACCAUUAGAGCUAUAUAUGCCUAAAAGUUGAAGAGAUUAUAGAUAUUUUCCAUGACCAUCUUUAGAGGAGUAUUUAGUUAACAAUAUGCAAUCUUUUCAUUUGUCAAUCUGACGUGUGUUAAGUAUAUUUUACAUUGGGAAAAAGAACAAAUAUAUUCUCGAACUUUCGAAAAUGGUAUGUCAAUACCCUCUGUCAUACUUUUCGUCCGUCACUGCCAUUGCCGUCCAAUAAUCAGUGCACAUUUGCCCCUCCCACUAACGGAACAUUCAUUUUGUACACGUGGCACUAUCCUAAGCCAUAAUCCGAAUUGACCAAUUAUUUAACCCAAAUUUUAAAAAUCCACCAUAAUCCAUUUAACCCACCCGAUUUACCCACAACAAACUAUGAACCAAGUUCAGCCAAUGUAGACACCAAAAGAACACAUGGAAUUUCUAUCAAGUUCUUGAAGUCUCUAAAGCUUUAGCUCCUCCGCAAGUUUUAUCUAAAUCACUUUUUCCUGCUGCCCCUUCUUAUAUUGGGAGUGGUAAUGGUAUUUUACCGGAGGAUAUUGCCGCCUAGUUAGAUGAAUCAGCCAUUGUUUUCGGUAACCCUUUUUCUUUUGCAUCUUUUAAAACUUUUCAGCUUAUUUAUGGAACACAUUAUGUCUGCAAAUACCCCUUUUCACUGAUAUGUUUUUUAUUGGGAAAAAAACAAAGAAAUUUGGUAAUUUGACUUUUUUUGUUUGUUUAUUUUUGUUUUCAAGUGAAACUCAUUUUUUUAUUUUUGGAGUUUUUUGGUGAGUUUUACUUUCUUUUUUUGAAUUAAUGGGAAAACCAACAGCUUCUUGAAAGAAGCUGAGUUUGGGGACAGUAAUGGUGGACAUUAAUGGUGACACAACUGUUACUUUAUGAUUUCUUGAAAUCAUUAACAAGUGUAUUGAAUUUAUUUUUGCUUUUAAGAGAGACCGUUUUUACUCUCUCCGGGUUUUGCUUUGAUUAUUUUAAUAAUUUAACAUCCACCAACAAUCAUUCUCUCCAUUUUCUCUGUUAUAAGAAAAACAUUAAAUUAUUUGUCUCUUCGGUUUUGGGGAUCUGUAAUUUUUAAAUUCUUAAUGAUCCCAUUUUUCUAUAAUUUUUAGUACUAUCUAUUAUUUCAUCGAUUGAUUUUUUUAUAUGUGGUGUACAGCAGCAGGAUGUUUCACCACGCACAUCUGGACGGCUCUCUCAUAGUAAUGGACCUUUAAAUGGUGGAUCUCUUACAUGGGUUCUCAGGGGCGGCUCAACGUAAUCGGAGGCCUAAAACGAAAUCUUAAUUAGAGGCCUAAAAUCUAAAUAAACUUCACAUGCAUUUAUUUAAAAUUUAUUUUUCUUACAUUUUUAAAUGCAAAGUAUUACUUAAUAAUUUUUUUUAUAUAUAAAUGAUUUAUUCGAUUUCUUUUUCAAUUAUUAAGUUUUAAAUAAGAUUUUAUUAAUUCAACGUUGAAAAAUAUUAUUUUACUCGGGCAAGCAUUAUAUGAAUUGUUAACAUAGUUCUACAAGUAAUAAGUUGACAAAUUUCAAAUAAAUAUAAGAGUUAGAACCAUAGCUUUGAUGAAGUUGAUAAUUUGGUUACCCCACAUUUUACUAUGGUUGUUGUAAUGCUUGAAAAUCUAAGAAGAAAUGGAAAAAGAAUUUACAAUUCAAUUUGUUCAACACUUUUCGACUAUUAAAUGAUAUUUUUGAUAAAAUAUUACUCUAAUUUAUCAACAAUUUAAAGAAGAGUGUAAAAGGAGUUAAAAAGAAAAUAAUGUGAGUAUUAGUAGAGAGAGUGUAAGAAAAUAAAACAAUAUUUUCUUGAUUUUUUCUAUUUGAAUUGGGUUGAAGAGAAUAAAAUAAUAAUUUUAAAUAUAUACUUUUUAUUAUAAAUAAUAGCCCUGUGGGUUCUUUUGUGUCUCCGACGGUGAUGGCCGAUUUAUUGGCUGAACUUAGGUCCAUAGUUUAUUUAUGGGUAAAUUGGGUGGGUUUAAUUGGUUAUGGGUGGGUUUUUGAAAAUUUGGAUUAAAUAAUUGAUCAACUCGGGUUGUGGCUUAGGAUUGUGCCACGUGUACAAAAUGAGUGGUCUAUUAGUGGGAGGGGCAAAUAUGCACCGAUUAUUGGACGGCAAGAGCACUGAUGGACGAAAAGUAUGACGGAGGAUAUUGGCAUACUAUUUUCGAAAGAUCGCGGGUAUAUUUGUCCUUUUUCCCUUUUACAUUUGAGGAGUUCUAUUUUUAUUUUUUACGAUUUGAUUUUUUUCUAAACCAUUUGAGAAGUUAUUGACUUCUACAAACUUUAAAAUGUAUUUCCUUAAAUCAAAUGAAUUUAAAACACAUUUAAAGUUUUUUUCAUAGUUUUAUAUUGAAUAGUUAAGUGUGAGAGUAGUUUCAUAUUAAAUUAUUGAGUAUGUGAGUUUCUUAUCUGAAUUGUAAUCAAAUACUUAUGGAAACACAAUUUAACUAUCAUUUUUUCUCUUUUGUAUCUAAAAUAUCAUCAUUGUUUGAAAAAUGAUCAAGUUUUUAAAAAAAAAUAUAAAUUCAAGGGAAACAUAACCUUAAAAAUGGUAAGUUUGAAAAUUAUCUCUAUCUUGUUUUACAAAUAUUUGAUUCAAAUUUGUAUGUCCUCACCAAUCAAUCAAAGUAUGCUUCUGAUUUGAUAUAGAUGUUUGUUGUAGCAAGGUUCUUUAGUAGCCUUAAAAAUCUAUUAUGUCUUAAUAUAUACGAUACAUUUUUUAAGAUUAAUUUUUAAAAAAUGAUAUAUGCAUUUUGAUAAAUAUUUAAUGACACUACUAAUAUUUUAUUCAUAUCACAUAUUUGACAAAAAAAAAUCAAUAAAGUUGCCACAUAAGUUUGGUCAAUAGUCAGAAGGGCUUAAAAUAUUAAGUUUGAUUGAAUUUAAAGGUUCAGUUGAAAAAUGAUCAAAUAGAAGAAUUCAUAAUAUAAGCUCGUACUAUAUUGUUGAAUGUUAAAGAAAGUUUGUGGAAAAUACAAAAAAGCAGACCAAAUAUAUCCACUAGCCUGACCUACAACAUUGGAAAAGUCGGUAACGUCGAUCACUAUGAGGGUAGUUGGUUUAAUUUAUAAUAACGAUUUGACUUUAUAUACUAUUCCUAUUAGACAAUUAUAUUUAAAAAAUAAAAUACUUAUAAACAAAAGUCCUUUUUUUCAUUUUUUGUAAAUAGCUUUGAAAGCAUUUUAGUCAUUUAACACAAGCAUUUUUUCACCAAACAUAUUAAUUGCAUAUUAUUAGAUUCACCAAACAUUUUUGCUUAUUAUUAGAUUCAACGUUCAAAUUUGCGAACACUUGACCUAAUGUUUAUUUCCAUAUCUAAUAGAUAAAAUAAUCUAUGCUUACAUAUUGGUAUUGUAAACGAUAAAUCCAACGAAGUAGCCUUUCUAGAAUUUUUAAUUGCCUCAAAUGUUUGUUUUACACUUCGAUUUUUGUAGCCUCCUCCCUUAAUUUUUUUACGAACGCUGCCAAAUCUUUGAAAGAGUUCCCACCUUCUUUAAUGCCAUUAAUUGCAACUUUUCGUAGCUCCGAUGCACGAAGUCUUCGCUCUUCUACGUUGUUUCCUUGCACAGCUUCCGCCAGUAAGUUAGCCAACUCGUCCGAAUUUGGUACCGUUUGCGCACCUUCACAAGCUCUAAUAGCUACCUCAUGCUCGUCAACUAAAAGGUUCGCAUUGGCAAAUUGGUCAGCACCCAUCGGCCAUGUUAACAUUGGUACACCGGCUAUUAAACUUUCGAGAGUCGAAUUCCAACCACAGUGAGUUAAGAAUGCGCCUAUAGCUUGGUGUUUUAAAAUCAACACUUGCGGGGCCCAGUCUCUAACAAUCAG
rnacentral:lncRNA from 1 species